rnacentral:rRNA from 1 species
AACGCGAAGAACCUUACCUGGGCUCGAAAUGUAGAGGACGAUAUCAGAGAUGAUAUUUCUCGAAAGGGUCUUUACAUAGGUGCUGCAUGGCUGUCGUCAGCUCGUGCCGUGAGGUGUUUGGUUAAGUCCAGCAACGAGCGCAACCCUUAUCGUUAGUUGCCAACGCGUAAAGGCGGGAACUCUAACGAGACUGCCUGGGUUAACCAGGAGGAAGGUGAGGAUGACGUCAAGUCCGCAUGGCCUUUAUGUCCAGGGCUACACACGUGCUACAAUGGUCGGUACAGAAGGCAGCGAAACCGUAAGGCGGAGCAAAUCCUGUAAAACCGAUCUCAGUUCAGAUUGUAGACUGCAAUUCGUCUACAUGAAGUUGGAAUUGCUAGUAAUGGCGUGUCAGCAACAACGCCGUGAAUACGUUCCCGGGCCUUGUA